rnacentral:rRNA from 1 species
UACAUGGGCUCCAAGCGUUAUCCGGAUUUAUUGGGCGUAAAGGGUCUCCAGGUGGUUUGGUUAGUCGGGCGUUAAAUUCCGCUGCUUAACGGCGGAGCUGCGUUCGAAACGGCCAGACUCGAGGGAUGGAGGGGGAGUAGGAACUCACGGUGUAGGGGUGAAAUCCGUUGAUAUCGUGGGGAACACCAAAAGCGAAGGCAAACUCCUGGCCAUCUCCUGACACUCAUGGGACGAAAGCGUGGGGGAGCGAAUAGG